rnacentral:lncRNA from 1 species
UUGGAUUAUUUUAUCAAUCAUGCCUUGUCACUAAAACUAAACUCCUUUUAAAAGUAAAUGCCCCCUUGAAGAAUAAAGAUGAAGCAAUUCAAACUGAAAGGUGGCUAAGGAAGAUGGCUAAUUCUGAUAAUUAUUAUUAUACAUACAAAAUGAAAGGUGGCUAGCUAAGGAAGAUGAUAUUAGGUCAUAUGAUUAAGCAAUUAACAGUAAUGGCUUGACCGGAACAAUUGUCAACGUAGCAGGUGAUUUUCAAUGUCAAUAAUAAUACAAUAUUUAUGAAAUUGCAAAAACAUUUAAUUGUCAG